GGCUUAUGUUAUGGCUCAGUUGGUUAGAGCGUGGUGCUAAUGACGCCAAGGCUGCAGGUUCGAUUCCUGUAUGAGGCA